rnacentral:rRNA from 1 species
GGAGUUUGGACCGUGUCUCAGUUCCAAUGUGGCCGAUCACCCUCUCAGGUCGGCUACUGAUCGUCGCCUUGGUAGGCCGUUACCCCACCAACUAACUAAUCAGACGCAGGCCCAUCCCAUGCCGAUAAAUCUUUGGCGGCUCCGGGAUGUCCCGGUGCCGCAUUAUGAGGUUUUAAUCCCGGUUUCCCGAGGCUAUCCCUCUGCAUGGGGCAGGUUGCCUACGCGUUACUCACCCGUCCGCCGCUUUCCACUCAAUCCAUCAACCGAAGUAUCUGUCAUGAGCUUCUCGCUCGACUUGCAUGUGUUAAACACGCCGCCAGCGUUCAUC